UACGGAGGAUGCAAGCGUUAUCCGGAAUGAUUGGGCGUAAAGCGUCCGCAGGUGGCUAUGUAAGUCUGCUGUUAAAGAGUCUAGCUCAACUAGAUAAGAGCAGUGGAAACUACAAGGCUAGAGUACGUUCGGGGCAGAGGGAAUUCCUGGUGUAGCGGUGAAAUGCGUAGAGAUCGGGAAGAACACCAGUGGCGAAGGCGCUCUGCUAGGCCGUAACUGACACUGAGGGACGAAAGCUAGGGGAGCGAACAGG
rnacentral:rRNA from 1 species